rnacentral:lncRNA from 1 species
UAUUUUUCUUAUACGUUUUAUGAAAGAACCUUUGCAAGUAAAAAAUUCUAAUAAUAAGAACGUAUGAAAAAUAUUCAAAUGGACUAGAAAAUAAAGAAAAAACCUUUUUGUGCGAGAGUCUUCUACAAGUAUGGAUUUCAACUCUCAAUGAAAGCACCAAUUUGUGGAUGCAAAUUUUCUCCUCCUCGAUCUUGGACAAUUUUGCACCUACAAAACAACUAGCACCUUAGGUUAAGGCCAAAAGCCUCACGCGCCCACGAUGAAUGGGGGGGGCUUUGGCUGAAGAACCUCCGAUGCCAAAGUUAGAAUUUUAGAGAGAAAUAGUGUUUAGAGUAUUUGGGAUUUUUUGUAAGAGAAUUCGAAUGACUUUUUGGUGAGAAUAGGUGCCUAUUUAUAGGAUUAAGCUU